rnacentral:rRNA from 1 species
GUUGUCCCGGUUUAAGCGUGUAGGCUGGUUUUCCAGGCAAAUCCGGAAAAUCAAGGCUGAGGCGUGAUGACGAGGCACUACGGUGCUGAAGCAACAAAUGCCCUGCUUCCAGGAAAAGCCUCUAAGCAUCAGGUAACAUCAAAUCGUACCCCAAACCGACACAGGUGGUCAGGUAGAGAAUACCAAGGCGCUUGAGAGAACUCGGGUGAAGGAACUAGGCAAAAUGGUGCCGUAACUUCGGGAGAAGGCACGCUGACACGUAGGUGAAGUGAUUUACUCAUGGAGCUGAAGUCAGUCGAAGAUACCAGCUGGCUGCAACUGUUUAUUAAAAACACAGCACUGUGCAAACACGAAAGUGGACGUAUACGGUGUGACGCCUGCCCGGUGCCGGAAGGUUAAUUGAUGGGGUCAGCGCAAGCGAAGCUCCUGAUCGAAGCCCCGGUAAACGGCGGCCGUAACUAUAACGGUCCUAAGGUAGCGAAAUUCCUUGUCGGGUAAGUUCCGACCUGCACGAAUGGCGUAAUGAUGGCCAGGCUGUCUCCACCCGAGACUCAGUGAAAUUGAACUCGCUGUGAAGAUGCAGUGUACCCGCGGCAAGACGGAAAGACCCCGUGAACCUUUACUAUAGCUUGACACUGAACAUUGAGCCUUGAUGUGUAGGAUAGGUGGGAGGCUUUGAAGUGUGGACGCCAGUCUGCAUGGAGCCGACCUUGAAAUACCACCCUUUAAUGUUUGAUGUUCUAACGUGGACCCGUAAUCCGGGUUGCGGACAGUGUCUGGUGGGUAGUUUGACUGGGGCGGUCUCCUCCUAAAGAGUAACGGAGGAGCACGAAGGUUGGCUAAUCCUGGUCGGACAUCAGGAGGUUAGUGCAAUGGCAUAAGCCAGCUUGACUGCGAGCGUGACGGCGCGAGCAGGUGCGAAAGCAGGUCAUAGUGAUCCGGUGGUUCUGAAUGGAAGGGCCAUCGCUCAACGGAUAAAAGGUACUCCGGGGAUAACAGGCUGAUACCGCCCAAGAGUUCAUAUCGACGGCGGUGUUUGGCACCUCGAUGUCGGCUCAUCACAUCCUGGGGCUGAAGUAGGUCCCAAGGGUAUGGCUGUUCGCCAUUUAAAGUGGUACGCGAGCUGGGUUUAGAACGUCGUGAGACAGUUCGGUCCCUAUCUGCCGUGGGCGCUGGAGAACUGAGGGGGGCUGCUCCUAGUACGAGAGGACCGGAGUGGACGCAUCACUGGUGUUCGGGUUGUCAUGCCAAUGGCACUGCCCGGUAGCUAAAUGCGGAAGAGAUAAGUGCUGAAAGCAUCUAAGCACGAAACUUGCCCCGAGAUGAGUUCUCCCUGAGACUUAGAGUCUCCUGAAGGAACGUUGAAGACGACGACGUUGAUAGGCCGGGUGUGUAAGCGCAGCGAUGCGUUGAGCUAACCGGUACUAAUGAACCGUGAGG